rnacentral:rRNA from 1 species
GCGAAUGGUGGAUGCCUUGACUGGUAAAGGCGAUGAAGGACGUACUAGACUGCGAUAAGCUACGGGGAGCUGUCAAGAAGCUUUGAUCCGUAGAUUUCCGAAUGGGGCAACCCAAUGUAUAGAGAUAUACAUUACCUAUAUAGGAGCGAACGAGGGGAAUUGAAACAUCUUAGUACCCUCAGGAAAAGAAAUCAAUAGAGAUUGCGUCAGUAGCGGCGAGCGAAAGCGCAAGAGGGCAAACCCAGUGCUUGCACUGGGGGUUGUAGGACUGCAAUGUGCAAGAGCUGAGUUUAGCAGAACAUUCUGGAAAGUAUAGCCAUAGAGGGUGAUAGUCCCGUAUGCGAAAAACAAAGCUUAGCUAGCAGUAUCCUGAGUAGGGCGGGACACGAGGAAUCCUGUCUGAAUCCGGGUCGACCACGAUCCAACCCUAAAUACUAAUACCAGAUCGAUAGUGCACAAGUACCGUGAGGGAAAGGUGAAAAGAACUGAGGUGAUCAGAGUGAAAUAGAACCUGAAACCAU